rnacentral:ncRNA from 2 species
UAUGAUUUAAUAAUAACAGCUUAUUUAUGCUCGUAAUUGGUCGAGCGUCUCUACUUGGCACCGUAAUGCCAAACAAUAAGCAAGGAGUCAGGCUCU